rnacentral:lncRNA from 1 species
CCUCCGUUCCCCCGUCGGCGGGUCCGGCGGGUCCGAGGGCGGCGCGGCGGAAGCUGUAGCCGCUGCGACAUCGGCCGAUCCGGGAGGGGCCGCUUUGCAGGCUCCCCUCCGUCCUGCAGUGCCUCAACUCCACGCAGAGGAUGAAAUUUAACGACAGGAAGGACGCGGUCGAUGCAGCGGCGAUGGACUGAGCCUAAGGCUGAAGCACGGCCCCUAGGUUCCUGUGCGGGCAGGAUGUUGGAGCGAGGUGCGAAAUCUCAGGCCCGGACCACAGAUCCUAGCCCCUCUGGCAAGGACCCGGUGACCAAAGGAGGAGAUCCCCACCAGGGCCGGCCGCAGAAACCCAGCCAGUC